ACUGAGAUUGGACUCUGAGAUGAGAGACUACCUUGAUAAGGAACUUCACACACUUACAUGGAUAAUGGCACUGUUUCAGUCACAAGGGUUGUCAAUACUUCUGUUGAUCAUCAGAACACAGUUUGCUGGUGCUGAGUCUUGUUCUCAUGUAGAUGCGCCACAAUUCAUCACAGCUACUCAGGAAGAGGUAGUUGUCCUCCCCUGUUUCACAUCAAUCCACAAAGAUUCAACAACCAGAGUGAAAUGGAUAAAACGUUCACCUAAACAUGAGGACAUCUUGGUGUGGCCUGAUGAUCCAUCUGUGGCACAUAAAUCAGAACGUGUGGCCUUCGAGUCGGGAGCGGAUGUUGUGGCGGCUGGAAACCUGUCCCUGUCUCUAAGAGAUGUAAGGAAAUCUGACGAAGGGCUUUAUAGUUGCAAGGUCUGGUUGGGAUGGAGUUGUGUCCAUGUGAAAAACAUCACUCUAAAAGUGAAAGAAUGCAAAAUUCUACAUUCAGUUAUGGCAGCACCCAACGGGAUAGCUACC